rnacentral:rRNA from 1 species
GCGCAGCAGUCGCGAAAACUUUACAAUGCGGGAAACCGCGAUAAGGGGACACCGAGUGCCAGCAUACUAUGUUGGCUGUCCACAUGUGUAAAUAGCAUGUGUUAGCAAGGGCCGGGGCAAGACCGGUGCCAGCCGCCGCGGUAACACCGGCGGCCCGAGUGGGUAAUCACUAUUAAUUGGGGUCUAAAAGGGUCCCGUAGCCGGUUUUGAUUAGGUCUUCCGGGAAAUCUGA